GAGGAGUGACCGUGUUUGAGUGUGAGUGCAGAGAGCCCGCCGAGGGCGACACACUGCAACACCAUCACCUCCGUCCUCCACCAUCAUGCCAGAGCUCACGGUCCCGGAUUUAUCCAUGGUAUGUGAGGAGCCUCGGUAUAAGCAAACUAAGUGAAGGUUGUGGACCCUGCAGGUCAGCAAACCCACCCUGAACCACCAUGACCAGCGUCAACUCUCCAGCCUGCCUGCUCGCCCGAAACCACUUCUACCGAAGUCUCCCGCCGAGUCCAGAACCCACCAAGCCCGCACACAAGCAGAGACUGCCCACGCUUUGGGUUACCGUGGAAACAGCUCCAGGACUGCCGGGUCUCGUGGGAACCAAAGGAUUAUGGGUCAGCAUCGUCCUCGGCUCUUCUUCCUCUUCCUCCAACUUCAAACCAAGCAACCCCGCCGACCAGAGAGCCAAGUAGAUGAAACAAGCAUACCGUUCCUCUGCGUUCCUCUGAACGUCCACACUCAAUAACAGGGCGGCGAUCCCCUGGGGACAGGCUCCUCCUCCUCUGAGCUCACUGUAGCAGGCAACGAACCACAGAGCGACCCUCCAGAACCACGAGCAGGGCGUGGCUAAAAAAAAAAUGGCUCCAGUUCCUCAAACCAAAGCGUGAACUUGUUCCUGAUUGGUUUAUGGUUUUGUUGCUGUUUUCAGGUGUCAGUGAAUAAAACGUGAAACUGGU